GACGAACGCUGGCGGCGUGCUUAACACAUGCAAGUCGAACGGAAAGGCCCUGCUUUUGUGGGGUGCUCGAGUGGCGAACGGGUGAGUAACACGUGAGUAACCUGCCCUUGACUUUGGGAUAACUUCAGGAAACUGGGGCUAAUACCGGAUAGGAGCUCCUGCUGCAUGGUGGGGGUUGGAAAGUUUCGGCGGUUGGGGAUGGACUCGCGGCUUAUCAGUUUGUUGGUGGGGUAGUGGCUUACCAAGGCUUUGACGGGUAGCCGGCCUGGGAGGGUGACCGGCCACAUUGGGACUGAGAUACGGCCCAGACUCCUACGGGAGGCAGCAGUGGGGAAUAUUGCACAAUGGGCGGAAGCCUGAUGCAGCAACGCCGCGUGCGGGAUGACGGCCUUCGGGUUGUAAACCGCUUUCACCUGUGACGAAGCGUGAGUGACGGUAAUGGGUAAAGAAGCACCGGCUAACUACGUG
rnacentral:rRNA from 1 species